GUCAGGAUGGCCGAGUGGUCUAAGGCGCCAGACUCAAGAUCCAAAUGGAGGUGUGGGUUCAAAUCCCACUUCUGACA